rnacentral:rRNA from 1 species
UGGGGAAUAUUGGACAAUGGACCAAGAGUCUGAUCCAGCAAUUCUGUGUGCACGAUGAAGUUUUUCGGAAUGUAAAGUGCUUUCAGUUGGGAAGAAAAAAAUGACGGUACCAACAGAAGAAGUGACGGCUAAAUACGUGCCAGCAGCCGCGGUAAUACGUAUGUCACAAGCGUUAUCCGGAUUUAUUGGGCGUAAAGCGCGUCUAGGUGGUUAUGUAAGUCUGAUGUGAAAAUGCAGGGCUCAACUCUGUAUUGCGUUGGAAACUGCAUGACUAGAGUACUGGAGAGGUAAGCGGAACUACAAGUGUAGAGGUGAAAUUCGUAGAUAUUUGUAGGAAUGCCGAUGGGGAAGCCAGCUUACUGGACAGAUACUGACGCUAAAGCGCGAAAGCGUGGGUAGCAAACAGGAUUAGAUACCCUGGUAGUCCACGCCGUAAACGAUGAUUACUAGGUGUUGGGGGUCGAACCUCAGCGCCCAAGCUAACGCGAUAAGUAAUCCGCCUGGGGAGUACGUACGCAAGUAUG